CUCAGACAGACGUGAAUCACCAUUCAUCUCAUUUAUCAGUGUGAGAGCUGGGCUGAUGUUCAGAUUACAAAUCCUUCCAGACGCUUGUUGAUGGAGCUUUAUGUUUCAAUAGGAAUAGGAGAAGAGUUAAAGACCCAACGCAUCGCCUUUUCUCUCUAAGGACAUCAUGCUGUUUUUUGGAGAAUAGAUCAAUGAAUGACUGUCGAUUUGCUAAUCCACGAAGGGGAAAUAACAAAGGCUUUAGGUUCAGAAAUGCGUCUUACAAUGGGAAUGGAAAUCAGAGACAAUCGUCAAGCCCUUACUGUGGAAUAUUUCCCUGGAUCCGAGCCUCAAACAAACCCAGAUCAUAAGCAGCAAGGCAGGCGACACAGCUUGUGUUUAUCCAUGCCAAAUAUCCACACAAUCAGCCGUGACGAAUCAGCCAGCACAUCCCCUUGAAAAAUAUGAAAUGUGUGGCAAUGGGGCAUUCUGGGAAUGUGGGAGAUAGGAGUCAGAGCAAACAUCACUCUCCACAAAAUAAUGGAUGUCCGUUAACCAAUUCUGGAGCUAAUCAUCCACAGAGGCACCAGAGCCCUCUGAUGUGUUUUCUGACCUAGCCAAGGAUGACACCCCUCCCUGAAAACAAAGUUUCAAAGCAUUCGUCUUGUGUGCGGCAAACCUGAACAAAUCAUCGAUAGGAUUUGAAAUCAGGAGAAUGGUGACGUCACGAUUUCCCUUGACACGCCCUUAACAACUCGUGUCUGUCCAUCAAUCACAAGAGCUAUAAUGAUGUCCAGUAAGAGCAUCAAACUCAAACUGCAUCUCCAAAAACUCAAAAGGUACAAAAGCU
ensembl:lncRNA